AAAAACUUUGCGUUAUUUAGAGGAGAGACAAGUUACCGCAUCAACGUGAGUGGCAAAAGUAAUUUGAAGAAGAAAAAUAGUUUGCUUAAUAAGAGAAAAUACGUCUACAGGCACGGCGUCUUUUGCAUGACUGACACUUUGCAUACACAAAGUUUAGUGGAGAGAGACAUAACAGCAAAUAAGUUGGUCAGGAAGGAAAAAUUGUCCAUUUCUUAUAAAUUGGGACUAUCACGUCUUCUUAGUGCGCAGACAAAGCGACUUCAGGAACUAAUGAAAGGCGUCCACCCCUCUCAAAGGUAUAACCUUCAGUCCGGUAUCUUUUCCUUUUCGUUCGCCUUUGAAGUUUUUCUUAAAGAGUGUAGCAAGCUGGUUGACUUAACGCCAAAGGAUAUCCACCGGCAUGUUAUUUUCUUGGAGUAUAGAUUGUUUAAAGCUAGUAAAAAAUAAGUUGUAUAUUUUUGCAGGUUACUUUGUUUGAUUCGUUGUUUGGACUUUAGUCCUUUGCUAUGAGUUGUAAGUUCCAACGAAACGCAAAAUAAAAAUUAAAUGGGGAAAAAGUGGAUGCUGUUAUAACAAUUUUGAGCCCUUAUACUAUUAUUUGUGUUCGCCAUCUUUUUGACUGGACCGCUUUGCUAUGUAUGACUCCUUCCCUUUUGGUUUAAAUUUAAUGGAAAUCUUAUUUUAGUGACCAGACAGUCAGUGGCUUGUAAUUUUUUUUUAA